rnacentral:tRNA from 1 species
GUAUCGUCUUGGCCAUAUUAGGACGUACACGUUCUAACUGUGUGUGACCCAUCUGUUCUGGAAGGUUGCCGUGCGACUCGUUGUUGGUAUG